AUUGAACGCUGGCGGCAGGCCUAACACAUGCGAGUCGAGCGGAUGAAGGGAGCUUGCUCCUGGAUUCAGCGGCGGACGGGUGAGUAAUGCCUAGGAAUCUGCCUGGUAGUGGGGGAUAACGUCCGGAAACGGGCGCUAAUACCGCAUACGUCCUGAGGGAGAAAGUGGGGAUCUUCGGACCUCACGCUAUCAGAUGAGCCUAGGUCGGAUUAGCUAGUUGGUGGGGUAAAGGCCUACCAAGGCGACGAUCCGUAACUGGUCUGAGAGGAUGAUCAGUCACACUGGAACUGAGACACGGUCCAGACUCCUACGGGAGGCAGCAGUGGGGAAUAUUGGACAAUGGGCGAAAGCCUGAUCCAGCCAUGCCGCGUGUGUGAAGAAGGUCUUCGGAUUGUAAAGCACUUUAAGUUGGGAGGAAGGGCAGUAAGUUAAUACCUUGCUGUUUUGACGUUACCAACAGAAUAAGCACCGGCUAACUUCGUG
rnacentral:rRNA from 1 species